rnacentral:rRNA from 1 species
UUAAGCGACUAAGCGUACACGGUGGAUGCCUAGGCAGUCAGAGGCGAUGAAGGGCGUGCUAAUCUGCGAAAAGCGUCGGUAAGCUGAUAUGAAGCGUUAUAACCGACGAUACCCGAAUGGGGAAACCCAGUGCAAUACGUUGCACUAUCGUUUAGAUGAAUACAUAGUCUAACGAGGCGAACCGGGGGAACUGAAACAUCUAAGUACCCCGAGGAAAAGAAAUCAACCGAGAUUCCCCCAGUAGCGGCGAGCGAACGGGGAGGAGCCCAGAGUCUGAAUCAGUUUGUGUGUUAGUGGAAGCGUCUGGAAAGUCGCACGGUACAGGGUGAUAGUCCCGUACACCAAAAUGCACAGGCUGUGAACUCGAUGAGUAGGGCGGGACACGUGACAUCCUGUCUGAAUAUGGGGGGACCAUCCUCCAAGGCUAAAUACUCCUGACUGACCGAUAGUGAACCAGUACCGUGAGGGAAAGGCGAAAAGAACCCCGGCGAGGGGAGUGAAAUAGAACCUGAAACCGUGUACGUACAAGCAGUGGGAGCACCUUCGUGGUGUGACUGCGUACCUUUUGUAUAAUGGGUCAGCGACUUAUAUUUUGUAGCAAGGUUAACCGAAUAGGGGAGCCGUAGGGAAACCGAGUCUUAACUGGGCGUCUAGUUGCAAGGUAUAGACCCGAAACCCGGUGAUCUAGCCAUGGGCAGGUUGAAGGUUGGGUAACACUAACUGGAGGACCGAACCGACUAAUGUUGAAAAAUUAGCGGAUGACUUGUGGCUGGGGGUGAAAGGCCAAUCAAACCGGGAGAUAGCUGGUUCUCCCCGAAAGCUAUUUAGGUAGCGCCUCGUGAACUCAUCUUCGGGGGUAGAGCACUGUUUCGGCUAGGGGGCCAUCCCGGCUUACCAAACCGAUGCAAACUCCGAAUACCGAAGAAUGUUAUCACGGGAGACACACGGCGGGUGCUAACGUCCGUCGUGAAGAGGGAAACAACCCAGACCGCCAGCUAAGGUCCCAAAGUCAUGGUUAAGUGGGAAACGAUGUGGGAAGGCACAGACAGCCAGGAUGUUGGCUUAGAAGCAGCCAUCAUUUAAAGAAAGCGUAAUAGCUCACUGGUCGAGUCGGCCUGCGCGGAAGAUAUAACGGGGCUAAACCAUGCACCGAAGCUGCGGCAGCGACGUUUAGGCGUUGUUGGGUAGGGGAGCGUUCUGUAAGCCGUUGAAGGUGACCUGUGAGGGUUGCUGGAGGUAUCAGAAGUGCGAAUGCUGACAUAAGUAACGAUAAUGCGGGUGAAAAACCCGCACGCCGGAAGACCAAGGGUUCCUGUCCAACGUUAAUCGGGGCAGGGUGAGUCGACCCCUAAGGCGAGGCUGAAAAGCGUAGUCGAUGGGAAACAGGUUAAUAUUCCUGUACUUGGUGUUACUGCGAAGGGGGGACGGAGAAGGCUAGGCUGGCCGGGCGACGGUUGUCCCGGUUUAAGCGUGUAGGGGGAGUGACCAGGUAAAUCCGGUUGCUUAUCAACCCUGAGGCGUGAUGACGAUGCACCACGGUGCAGAAGCAGUUGAUGCCAUGCUUCCAGGAAAAGCCUCUAAGCAUCAGGUAACAUUAAAUCGUACCCCAAACCGACACAGGUGGUCAGGUAGAGAAUACUCAGGCGCUUGAGAGAACUCGGGUGAAGGAACUAGGCAAAAUGGUGCCGUAACUUCGGGAGAAGGCACGCUGGCGUUAGGUGAAAGGACUAGCUCCUGGAGCUGAAGCCAGUCGCAGAUACCAGCUGGCUGCAACUGUUUAAUAAAAACACAGCACUGUGCAAACACGAAAGUGGACGUAUACGGUGUGACGCCUGCCCGGUGCUGGAAGGUUAAUUGAUGGGGUCAGCCGCAAGGCGAAGCUCUUGAUCGAAGCCCCAGUAAACGGCGGCCGUAACUAUAACGGUCCUAAGGUAGCGAAAUUCCUUGUCGGGUAAGUUCCGACCUGCACGAAUGGCGUAAUGAUGGCCAGGCUGUCUCCACCCGAGACUCAGUGAAAUUGAACUCGCUGUGAAGAUGCAGUGUACCCGCGGCAAGACGGAAAGACCCCGUGAACCUUUACUAUAGCUUGACACUGAACAUUGAGCCUUGAUGUGUAGGAUAGGUGGGAGGCCUUGAAGUGUGGACGCCAGUCUGCAUGGAGCCAACCUUGAAAUACCACCCUUUAAUGUUUGAUGUUCUAACUCGGCCCCAUGAUCUGGGGUGAGGACAGUGUCUGGUGGGUAGUUUGACUGGGGCGGUCUCCUCCCAAAGAGUAACGGAGGAGCACGAAGGUUAGCUAAUCACGGUCGGACAUCGUGAGGUUAGUGCAAAGGCAUAAGCUAGCUUGACUGCGAGAGUGACGGCUCGAGCAGGUACGAAAGUAGGUCUUAGUGAUCCGGUGGUUCUGAAUGGAAGGGCCAUCGCUCAACGGAUAAAAGGUACUCCGGGGAUAACAGGCUGAUACCGCCCAAGAGUUCAUAUCGACGGCGGUGUUUGGCACCUCGAUGUCGGCUCAUCACAUCCUGGGGCUGAAGUAGGUCCCAAGGGUAUGGCUGUUCGCCAUUUAAAGUGGUACGCGAGCUGGGUUUAGAACGUCGUGAGACAGUUCGGUCCCUAUCUGCCGUGGGCGUUGGAAGAUUGAGAGGGGCUGCUCCUAGUACGAGAGGACCGGAGUGGACGAAUCACUGGUGUUCGGGUUGUCAUGCCAAUGGCAUUGCCCGGUAGCUAAAUUCGGAAGAGAUAACCGCUGAAAGCAUCUAAGCGGGAAACUUGCCUCGAGAUGAGUCUUCCCUGGGGCUUAAAGCCCCCUGAAGGAACGUUAAAGACUAUGACGUUGAUAGGCUGGGUGUGUAAGUGCAGCGAUGUAUUGAGCUAACCAGUACUAAUGAUCCGUGAGGCUUAACCUU